AGUGAACGCUGGCGGUAGGCCUAACACAUGCAAGUCGAACGGCAGCACAGUAAGAGCUUGCUCUUACGGGUGGCGAGUGGCGGACGGGUGAGGAAUACAUCGGAAUCUACUUUUUCGUGGGGGAUAACGUAGGGAAACUUACGCUAAUACCGCAUACGACCUACGGGUGAAAGUAGGGGAUCUUCGGACCUUGCGCGAUUGAAUGAGCCGAUGUCGGAUUAGCUAGUUGGCGGGGUAAAGGCCCACCAAGGCGACGAUCCGUAGCUGGUCUGAGAGGAUGAUCAGCCACACUGGAACUGAGACACGGUCCAGACUCCUACGGGAGGAAGCAGUGGGGAAUAUUGGACAAUGGGCGCAAGCCUGAUCCAGCCAUACCGCGUGGGUGAAGAAGGCCUUCGGGUUGUAAAGCCCUUUUGUUGGGAAAGAAAAGCAGCAGGUUAAUACCCCGCUGUUCUGACGGUACCCAAAGAAUAAGCACCGGCUAACUUCGUG
rnacentral:rRNA from 1 species